UACCUGGGAUUGACAGCAUAUGCACUUAAAUUGAACCUACUGCACUGCUUGUAUCAGUGAACAUGUUUAAGGCUUUAAGGCUGUACAGUUUCAAAUACCUCAUUCUGACUUGCUGGUGGCAGUAGUGACGCAUGGCACAUUUGGUUUUGAAA